rnacentral:lncRNA from 1 species
GGUAAACCAUGAAGGUUUUGUAUUUUUCUCUUUGAAUUGGGAUCAGUAAGAAUAGAUGAAGUAAUAAACAUAAAUUGAAUAUAAGGAAAUAGUGAUUCCGGGGACAAAAUCCUUAUAAGGAGGGGAGAAUGUCAGGACCCUAAAUUUUAAACAAUUCUAUUUUUUACCAAUAAUUUUUUUAAAUUUAAUAUUAGUAUUGAUUAUCAAUAUUAUAUUGAGUGUCUGUGUUAUGAGCAUAGCAAGAUAGUCAAAC